ACCAGGGCUGAUGUGGUCAUGGUGGAAAUGGAGCCAGUUCUGUUACCCCAAAGCACCUCUCCUAAAACACGAAACUGAGUAAGCCAGGCCUGGCCUUGCCAGGAACAGCCGGCAUUGUUUGGCUUUUUGGAGAGACUUCCUGGACACAAUGCUCCAAACGAACCACAGCAGCGCCCCACACCGCCCAGCAAAGUGCACGCGGGACACCCAGGCGCCCAGCGCUCACGUUUGCAGGAGCGGAGCACACCUCCCGGGGUCCCUCCGUUCUUCCAGUCCAGGGAGGAAUAUACAUCUAUAAAACUGAAGGAAAAAAUUAGGUUGGAACCUCUGUCAUCAGAUGAGGGGAUAAGAAAAUGACCUGGACAACCUGAACAAAAACAGAAUGAAGAAAAUUCCAGAAGAGAGGGCCAGGCUUUACUGCCAUGUACCACUCCAGACAGCAUGCAGAGACAGCAGAGAGCAUAAUAAACAUCGGAGGUAUUUUGCAAUUCAUGGCUGACCCAGG